rnacentral:tRNA from 1 species
AAAAAGUUAGUUUAAACUCAAAACACCAUUUUGUCAAAAUGGAAACAUUCUUAUAAUACUUUUUA